GAGGAUGCCUCUGGCGCGGCGCCUUCCGAGUUCCCUGGAACGGGACGCCAUAGAGGGUGAGAGCCCCGUAUGGUCGGCCGCCAAGCCUCUGUGAGGCUCCUUCGACGAGUCGAGUAGUUUGGGAAUGCUGCUCAAAAUGGGAGGUAUAUGUCUUCUAAAGCUAAAUACCGGCCAGAGACCGAUAGCGCACAAGUAGAGUGAUCGAAAGAUGAAAAGCACUUUGAAAAGAGGGUUAAACAGUACGUGAAAUUGUUGAAAGGGAAGCGCUCGCGACCAGACUCGGGCCCGGCGGAUCAUCCGGCGUUCCUCGCCGGUGCACUCCGCCGGCGCCCGGGCCAGCAUCGGCUCGACGCGGGGGAUAAAGGCGGCGGGAACGUGGCCCCUCCGGGGGUGUUAUAGCCCGCCGUGCAAUGCCCCGCGCCGGGCCGAGGACCGCGCCCUAGGCAAGGAUGCUGGCGUAAUGGUCGCUAGCGACCCGUCUUGAAACACGGACCAAGGAGUCGUCUUCGUAUGCGAGUGUUCGGGUGUCAAACCCCUACGCGCAAUGAAAGUGAACGCGGGUGAGAGCCCUCGCGGGCGCAUCACCGACCGAUCCUGAUGUUCUCGGAUGGAUUUGAGUAAGAGCAUACGGGGCCGGACCCGAAAGAAGGUGAACUAUGCCUGUGUAGGGUGAAGCCAGAGGAAACUCUGGUGGAGGCUCGCAGCGGUUCUGACGUGCAA
rnacentral:rRNA from 1 species